UGUUGCCCAAGCUAUGACCACAUAAUGACUAACUUGUACGUGAGAUUUCUGCACCAGUUCCAGCCAACAAAACUGAAAAUUUAAACCGGAUUAUACCGCCAGAAAGGUGGUCUCUGAACAUCAGGUGGAAGGGGUACCAGCAGAUUCAGGGAGGUCUUCGAACCUGGAUCAAAGAGGUGUAUUCUUGAGCAUCUGGGGUUUGUUUACGACAAUACAGACCCAUGGAAUGCAGGUGAUGACAGAAGCUCCACUCAGCUCCGUUGGAGGACACAGGAGAGACGCUCUGGCACUUUGAUGCUCCUUAAUGAUGGCUGCUCUUCAUCGGUUAGCCGGAGCGCUCAAUAACAUGCUGCUUGAUUCAUCCAUGCAGACAGAUGACUGACAAAACCCCAUGUUCUACACUCACGGAGGUUUGGGAUGGAGUCAAGAGGAUUUGUGGGUGGAAUUCUCAUAUUUCGUUCUGCAUGCAGCUUUGUGUAUAUUGAAAUAGCUGUGAUGGUUAGGAAACCAAAAUUCUUCGACUGUUGUUCUGAGUUUGGGGUUGCCAAGCUUAAAUUGUCUGGGCUUUCUUUAGGGUCAGAACUAAGGUGACCAACAACAGACAGUAAAUAAAAAGUGUAAGAGCUGAUGUUCUACGUGCAUAUUUGUAAUGUUAAACAAACAAAAAAAAAAGUGGACGUGUUUAAUUUUUAAGUUAAACUACCUCUAGCUUAAUUACUCACCCUCAUGUCAUUCCACACCUCUGUUCAUC